CAGGAUAAGAAAGAUAAAAUAAAGUAAAUGAAACAAAAUAUUUUUAGACUAUGUGGGGUAAAUCUUUUGGUGACCUGAUCAUUUUUUUUUUACCUUCUAUAAAGUUGUUAAAAUAUAUCAUCCACUGGUGUUUUUCAACAAUUACUUUUUGAUAUUUUGCAAGAAACCAGCAUCCCUCCACAGCAGGACUAAAGUCAAUGACAUCAGACUGUGAUGUGCUGAAAUUUAAUAUUUCUCCGAAACGCCACUCUUUCAUAAUCUCAGCUGGGGGGAUUUUAUUCAUUUCAAACUGUGUUAGCUUUGGCUCAGCUGUUAUAAGUUCUGCC